GAUGAACGCUGGCGGCGUGCCUAAUACAUGCAAGUCGAGCGAACAGACGAGGAGCUUGCUCCUCUGACGUUAGCGGCGGACGGGUGAGUAACACGUGGAUAACCUACCUAUAAAACUGGGAUAACUUCGGGAAACCGGAGCUAAUACCGGAUAAUAUAUUGAACCGCAUGGUUCAAUAGUGAAAGACGGUUUUGCUGUCACUUAUAGAUGGAUCCGCGCCGCAUUAGCUAGUUGGUAAGGUAACGGCUUACCAAGGCAACGAUGCGUAGCCGACCUGAGAGGGGGAUAGGCCACACUGGAACUGAGACACGGUCCAGACUCCUACGGGAGGCAGCAGUAGGGAAUCUGCCGCAAUGGGCGAAAGCUUGACGGAGCAACGCCGCGUGAGUGAGGAAGGUCUUCGGAUCGCAAAACUCUGUUAUUAGGGAAGAACAAAUGUGUAAGUAACUAUGCACGUCUUGACGGUACCUAAUCAGAAAGCCACGGCUAACUACGUG
rnacentral:rRNA from 1 species